GAAAGGAUACCAAAAUGCCAGUUGUUCUCUGUGAACAUUCUAGAAAACAGCAGGGACUGCAAGUUUCUGCACAGCCAUGCUGUGGCAGAAAUCAUCUUGUGAGGGCUGCAGUACAGCCAUGGCCUUCAGGCUGGAGUUAUACCUGGUGACCACAGCUGAUGGGAGGGCUGCUUAGUGAUUUGAACUUGACUGUAGAAAGCAAAUGGCACUACUCCCAGUUUUGUCCAUAUUUUCCAGUGCUCCCUACCCAGAAGCUUGUAAGUCUGAACAUAAUAAAGAUCUGGAAGAGGAUCUUUUCCUACUUCCUGAACACUCAUGGAUAACUACUGCCUUUCUAGUGGGAAUGACGUGUUGCUGGAAAUAGCAGUGGAAGCAUGUAGAGAAGACAUGGAGCUGUUGUUGAUCCUGUUGUAUAUGGGGACACUGAAGAACAGAUCUUUAAAGCUGCAGUUGGCUCUGACACUGGAACAGUACAUUUCAGAACACUGUCCUGCAGGGAUGCUGGAUGUGCAGAGCAGCAUGGUCUUACUGAACUGUCAGAAGUGAGAACAAG